rnacentral:rRNA from 1 species
CGCAUCUGUGCAUGCAGCAUAUCAAUAAGCGGAGGAAAAGAAACUAACAAGGAUUCCCCUAGUAACGGCGAGUGAAGCGGGAAGAGCUCAAAUUUGAAAUCUUAAAGGGUUUCCCUUUACGAAUUGUAGUUUAAAGAAGUGUUUUCUGUUGAGGUUUUGGUAAAAGUUCUUUGGAAUAGGACAUCAUAGAGGGUGAGAAUCCCGUAUUUGACCUUUACUUUCAACUUUGUGAUACACUUUCAAAGAGUCGGAUUGUUUGGGAAUAGCAGUCCAAAAUGGGUGGUAAAUUUCAUCUAAAGCUAAAUAUUGGCGAGAGACCGAUAGCGAACAAGUACCGUGAGGGAAAGAUGAAAAGAACUUUGAAAAGAGAGUUAAACAGUACGUGAAAUUGUCAAAAGGGAAGCGUUUGACACCAGUGUUGUUUUUCUGAAAAUCAAUUAAAGAACUGUUUAUGCUAAGCUGUUUAGACUUUAUCAGCUAAUCUGUUUAGUUUUGAGCUUUUCUUUAAUGCACUUUUCAGUUAACAAGUCAACAUCAAUUUCUUUUGCUGUAAAAAAGCUUGAGGAAGGUGGCUUGAGAUUCGUCUUAAGUGUUUAUAGCCUCUUGCCUAUGCAGUCGGAGAGAUUGAGGUCUGCAGCGUAGAUCCUUCGGGGCUAAAUGCAUUUGUGCUAAGUUAUAGCAUUUUAUAGACAACUUGUUGCCUAUGAUUUGUCUUGUAGCUUACUCGCUUAUGUUAUUUUACCUACGCUUAGGAUGUUGAACGCGCACAGAGUCUC